UGGGGAAUUGUUCGCAAUGGGCGCAAGCCUGACGACGCAACGUCGCGUGGAGGAUGAAGGUCUUCGGAUUGUAAACUCCUGUUGCCCGGGACGAACGCCUCCAACCUAAUACGUUGGAGGGUGACGGUACCGGGUGAGGAAGCCCCGGCUAACUCUGUGCCAGCAGCCGCGGUAAUACAGAGGGGGCAAGCGUUGUUCGGAAUUACUGGGCGUAAAGGGCGCGUAGGCGGCCUGCUAAGUCGAACGUGAAAUCCCUGGGCUCAACCCAGGAACUGCGUCCGAUACUGGUUGGCUUGAAUCCGGGAGAGGGAUGUGGAAUUCCAGGUGUAGCGGUGAAAUGCGUAGAUAUCUGGAGGAACACCGGGUGGCGAAGGCGACAUCCUGGACCGGUAUUGACGCUGAGGCGCGAAAGCCAGGGGAGCAAACGGGAUUAGAUACCCCGGUAGUCCUGGCCCUAAACGAUGAAUGCUUGGUGUGGUGGGUAUCGAUCCCUACGUGCCGAAGCUAACGCAUUAAG
rnacentral:rRNA from 1 species